rnacentral:tRNA from 1 species
CGGAGUGUAGGCUAGUGGAUGAGAUACUGCGCUUGGGACGCAGUCAAUGCGGGUUCGAGUCCCGCCACUCCGA